AUUGAACGCUGGCGGCAUGCCUUACACAUGCAAGUCGAACGGCAGCGGGGGAGAAGCUUGCUUUUCCUGCCGGCGAGUGGCGAACGGGUGAGUAAUACAUCGGAACGUGCCCUGUAGUGGGGGAUAACUAGUCGAAAGAUUAGCUAAUACCGCAUACGACCUGAGGGUGAAAGUGGGGGACCGCAAGGCCUCAUGCCAGAGGAACGGCCGAUGUCUGAUUAGCUAGUUGGUGGGGUAAAGGCCUACCAAGGCGACGAACAGUAGCUGGUCUGAGAGGACGAUCAGCCACACUGGGACUGCGACACGGCCCAGACUCUUACGGGAGGCAGCAGUGGGGAAUUUUGGACAAUGGGCGAAAGCCUGAUCCAGCAAUGCCGCGUGUGUGAAGAAGGCCUUCGGGUUGUAAAGCACUUUUGUCCGGAAAGAAAUGGCUCUGGUUAAUACCUGGGGUCGAUGACGGUACCGGAAGAAUAAGGACCGGCUAACUACGUGCCAGCCGCCGCGGUAACAC
rnacentral:rRNA from 1 species